rnacentral:rRNA from 1 species
GAUGAACGCUGGCGGCGUGCCUAAUACAUGCAAGUCGAGCGAACGGACGAGAAGCUUGCUUCUCUGAUGUUAGCGGCGGACGGGUGAGUAACACGUGGAUAACCUACCUAUAAGACUGGGAUAACUUCGGGAAACCGGAGCUAAUACCGGAUAAUAUUUUGAACCGCAUGGUUCAAAAGUGAAAGACGGUCUUGCUGUCGCUUAUAGAUGGAUCCGCGCUGCAUUAGCUAGUUGGUAAGGUAACGGCUUACCAAGGCAACGAUGCAUAGCCGACCUGAGAGGGUGAUCGGCCACACUGGAACUGAGACCCGGUCCAGACUCCUACGGAGGCAGCAGUAGGGAAUCUUCCGCAAUGGGCGAAAGCCUGACGGAGCAACGCCGCGUGAGUGAUGAAGGUCUUCGGAUCGUAAAACUCUGUUAUUAGGGAAGAACAUAUGUGUAAGUAACUGUGCACAUCUUGACGGUACCUAAUCAGAAAGCCACGGCUAACUACGUG